GGCGAACGCUGGCGGCAUGCCUAAUACAUGCAAGUCGAGCGGACUUGAAGAGAAGCUUGCUUCUCUGACGGUUAGCGGCGGACGGGUGAGUAACACGUAGGCAACCUGCCUUUCAGUCUGGGAUAACUUCCGGAAACGGAUGCUAAUACCGGAUACAUCGUUUCUCCGCAUGGAGAAAUGAGGAAAGACGGCGCAAGCUGUCACUGAGAGAUGGGCCUGCGGCGCAUUAGCUAGUUGGUGGGGUAACGGCUCACCAAGGCGACGAUGCGUAGCCGACCUGAGAGGGUGAACGGCCACACUGGGACUGAGACACGGCCCAGACUCCUACGGGAGGCAGCAGUAGGGAAUCUUCCACAAUGGGCGAAAGCCUGAUGGAGCAAUGCCGCGUGAGUGAUGAAGGUUUUCGGAUCGUAAAGCUCUGUUGCCAGGGAAGAACGUCCGGGUGAGUAACUGCACCCGGAGUGACGGUACCUGAGAAGAAAGCCCCGGCUAACUAC
rnacentral:rRNA from 1 species